rnacentral:rRNA from 1 species
UACGGAAGGCAGCAGUGGGGAAUAUUGCACAAUGGGCGCAAGCCUGAUGCAGCCAUGCCGCGUGUAUGAAGAAGGCCUUCGGGUUGUAAAGUACUUUCAGUCGUGAGGAAGGUGUUAAGGUUAAUAACCUUAGCAAUUGACGUUAGCGACAGAAGAAGCACCGGCUAACUCCGUGCCAGCAGCCGCGGUAAUACGGAGGGUGCGAGCGUUAAUCGGAAUUACUGGGCGUAAAGGGCACGCAGGCGGUUAAUUAAGUUGGAUGUGAAAUCCCCGGGCUUAACCUGGGAAUGGCAUUCAAGACUGGUUAGCUAGAGUCUUGUAGAGGGGGUAGAAUUCCAUGUGUAGCGGUGAAAUGCGUAGAGAUGUGGAGGAUACCGGUGGCGAAGGCGGCCCCUGGACAAAGACUGACGCUCAUGUGCGAAAGCGUGGGGAGCAAACG